rnacentral:rRNA from 1 species
UACGUAGGAUGCAAGCGUUUGUCCGGAAUUAUUGGGCGUAAAGCGCGCGUAGGCGGCUACUUAAGUCGGAUGUGAAAGCCCCUGGCUCAACUGGGGAAGUGCACCCGAAACUGAGUGGCUUGAGUGCGAAAGAGGGUCGCGGAAUUCCCGGUGUAGAGGUGAAAUUCGUAGAUAUCGGGAGGAACACCCGUGGCGAAGGCGGCUCUCUGGGACGGUACUGACGCUGAGACGCGAAAGCGUGGGGAGCGAACAGG